UCUACAUACGGAGCGGGUCCUCUUCACGGAGCCCGCCGCCAUGUUUCUACAGUAGCCCAGAAUGGACAAACCAAACACUGGCUCUAGGUAGGGCCAUUCACGUUCUCAUGUUUUUGCGUUGGCCACCGUUGUUCGCUUACAUGCUUGGCACACGGGAGAGGUUUCAGUUGGUUGGUUGCAAUCUGCAACCUCACAGCUAAAUGCCGCCAAAUCUUACACACUGCACCUUUAAUCUUUUAUGCACUUUAACUU